rnacentral:rRNA from 1 species
CAGUAGCCGCGGGAAUACGUAGGGUGCAAGCGUUAAUCGGAAUUACUGGGCGUAAAGCGUGCGCAGGCGGUUAUAUAAGACAGAUGUGAAAUCCCCGGGCUCAACCUGGGAACUGCAUUUGUGACUGUAUAGCUAGAGUACGGCAGAGGGGGAUGUAAUUCCGCGUGUAGCAGUGAAAUGCGUAGAUAUGCGGAGGAACACCGAUGGCGAAGGCAAUCCCCUGGGCCUGUACUGACGCUCAUGCACGAAAGCGUGGGGAGCAAACAGGAUUAGAUACCCGCGUAGUCCCUGUCUCUUAUAC